UACGGAGACCCCAAGCGUUAUCGGGAAUCAUUGGGCCUAAAGGGUCCGUAGGCGGGACAAUAAGUCAGUGGUGAAAGUCUGUGGCUCAACCAUAGAAUUGCCAUUGAAACUGUUGUCCUUGAGUUAUUGUGAAGUGGUUGGAAUAUGUAGUGUAGCGGUGAAAUGCAUAGAUAUUACAUAGAACACCGAUUGCGAAGGCAGAUCACUAACAAUAUACUGACGCUGAUGGACGAAAGCGUAGGUAGCGAACAGG
rnacentral:misc_RNA from 1 species